AUUGAACGCUGGCGGCAGGCCUAACACAUGCAAGUCGAACGGUAACAGGAAGAAGCUCGCUUCUUUGCUGACGAGUGGCGGACGGGUGAGUAAUGUCUGGGAAACUGCCUGAUGGAGGGGGAUACUACUGGAAACGGUAGCUAAUACCGCAUAACGUCGCAAGACCAAAGAGGGGGACCUUCGGGCCUCUUGCCAUCGGAUGUGCCCAGAUGGGAUUAGCUAGUAGGAGGGGUAACGGCUCACCUAGGCGACGAUCCCUAGCUGGUCUGAGAGGAUGACCAGCCACACUGGAACUGAGACACGGUCCAGACUCCUACGGGAGGCAGCAGUGGGGAAUAUUGCACAAUGGGCGCAAGCCUGAUGCAGCCAUGCCGCGUGUAUGAAGAAGGCCUUCGGGUUGUAAAGUACUUUCAGCGGGGAGGAAGGGAGUAAAGUUAAUACCUUUGCUCAUUGACGUUACCCGCAGAAGAAGCACCGGCUAACUCCGUG
rnacentral:rRNA from 1 species